UACGUAGGGGGCGAGCGUUGUCCGGAAUCAUUGGGCGUAAAGCGCGUGUAGGCGGCUUGGUAAGUCCGGUGUGAAACCUUGGGGCUCAACCCCAAGCCUGCACUGGAUACUGCCUCGCUUGAGUCCGGGAGGGGAGAGCGGAAUUCCUAGUGUAGCGGUGAAAUGCGCAGAUAUUAGGAAGAACACCGGUGGCGAAGGCGGCUCUCUGGAACGGUACUGACGCUGAGACGCGAAAGCGUGGGGAGCAAACAGG
rnacentral:rRNA from 1 species